AGGUUGUCUUCCACGGUGGAGAUAGACUGAUGAUUUGGGGUCUUGCAGUUCGUCUUCUGUAGGAAGGAACAGUGAUGAUUCCGGUGAAUCACAAUCGGAUGAUGAUGAUGACUCCCCGGAGGCUGAAGUGCAAAGCCAGCCGAAGGGACCUUUGGACACCAUGGAUGCUCUCGAGAGGUUUUGCCUAUGAGAAGAGGCAUAUCCCAGUUUUAUAAUGGCAAAUAGAAGUCCUUUAUGAAUCUAGCUGGUGCGAUGGCUGCUCCCUCUGUCAAAGAUUUCGCAAAGCCAGAAGAUCCCUACAAUAAGAAACGCAAGAACUUGUUAGUCGAGAAGAAGCGCUAUAAUCCUUUGAGAAACUAUGUAACUGAGAUAUCCAUGAAAGUAGCCAACACCAACCAAAGCACAGUGCUCAGGAAUCCACAAGCAGCUCUGACAUAAACUCAACCGUAUCAUCCCCAUCUGGCUG